CCUACGGGUGGCAGCAGUGAGGAAUAUUGGGCAAUGGGCGCUAGCCUGAACCAGCCAAGUAGCGUGAAGGAUGACUGCCCUAUGGGUUGUAAACUUCUUUUAGAUGGGAAUAAAGUGCAGUAUGUAUACUGCUUUGCAUGUACCUUAUGAAUAAGGAGCGGCUAACUCCGUGCGAGCAGCCGCGGUAAUACGGAGGAUCCGAGCGUUAUCCGGAUUUAUAGGGUGUAAAGGGAGCGCAGGCGGGUUGUUAAGUCAGUUGUGAAAGUUUGCGGCUCAACCGUAAAAUUGCAGUUGAUACUGGCAUCCUUGAGUACAGUAGAGGUCAGCGGAAUUCGUGGUGUAGCGGUGAAAUGCUUAGAUAUCACGAAGAACACCGAUUGCGAAGGCAGAUUGCUGGACUGUAACUGACGCUGAUGCUCGAAAGUGUGGGUAUCAAACAGGAUUAGAUACCCGAGUAGUC
rnacentral:rRNA from 1 species